GUGGGGAAUAUUGCGCAAUGGGGGAAACCCUGACGCAGCGACGCCGUGUGAGGGAAGAAGGCUUUCGGGUCGUAAACCUCUGUCAGAAAGGAAGAACCUCCCAUAUCCGAAUAGGGUGUGGGACUGACGGUACUUUCAAAGGAAGCACCGGCUAACUCCGUGCCAGCAGCCGCGGUAAUACGGAGGUUGCUAGCGUUAAUCGGAAUCACUGGGCGUAAAUCGCGCGUAGGCCGCUUCUUAAGGCGGACGUGAAAGCCCUCGGCUCAGCCGGGGAACUGCGUUCGAUACUGGGAGGCUGGAGUCCUGGAGAGGGUGGCGGAAUUCCGGGUGUAGGAGUGAAAUCCGUAGAUAUCCGGAGGAACACCGGUGGCGAAGGCGGCCACCUGGACAGGUACUGACGCUGAGGCGCGAAAGCGUGGGGAGCAAACAGGAUUAGAAACCCUGGUAGUCC
rnacentral:rRNA from 1 species